UACGUAGGGUGCGAGCGUUGUCCGGAAUUAUUGGGCGUAAAGAGCUCGUAGGCGGUGUGUCGCGUCGGCCGUGAAAACCUGGGGCUCAACUCUGGGCGUGCGGUCGAUACGGGCAUCACUGGAGUUCGGCAGGGGAGACUGGAAUUCCUGGUGUAGCGGUGAAAUGCGCAGAUAUCAGGAGGAACACCGGUGGCGAAGGCGGGUCUCUGGGCCGAUACUGACGCUGAGGAGCGAAAGCGUGGGGAGCGAACAGG
rnacentral:rRNA from 1 species